GAUGAACGCUGGCGGCGUGCCUAAUACAUGCAAGUCGAACGAAGAUCUAGCUUGCUAGAUCUUAGUGGCGAACGGGUGAGUAAUACAUAAAUAAUCUGCCCAUAUGACUGGGAUAACUAUUGGAAACGAUAGCUAAUACCGGAUAGGUUAAUCGGAGGCAUCUCUGAUGAAUUAAAGUAGGAUUUCUACACAAAUGGAUGAGUUUAUGGCGCAUUAGUUAGUUGGUGGGGUAACGGCCUACCAAGACGAUGAUGCGUAGCCGACCUGAGAGGGUGACCGGCCACACUGGGACUGAGACACGGCCCAGACUCCUACGGGAGGCAGCAGUAGGGAAUUUUCGGCAAUGGGCGCAAGCCUGACCGAGCAACGCCGCGUGAGUGAUUAAGGCCUUCGGGUUGUAAAGCUCUGUUGUAAGGGAAGAACAUUCAGGAUAGGAAAUGAUCUUGAACUGACGGUACCUUACCAGAAAGCCACGGCUAACUACGUGCCAGCAGCCGCCGUAACAC
rnacentral:rRNA from 1 species